CCCGUCACACCCGGAAAGUUGACUGCACCAGAAGUCGUUGAGCUAACCCUGAGCUUGUCGAAGGGAGGCAGACGCCUACGGUGUGGUUGGUGAUUGGGGUG
rnacentral:rRNA from 1 species